rnacentral:rRNA from 1 species
GACGAACGCUGGCGGCGUGCUUAACACAUGCAAGUCGAACGGAGAUUAUUAAUGAAGCUUGCGAUUUAAUAAUCUUAGUGGCGGACGGGUGAGUAACGCGUGGGCAACCUACCCAUAAGCGGGGGAUAACAGUUGGAAACGACUGCUAAUACCGCAUAAGCUAUUGAGGUCGCAUGACCUAAAUAGUAAAGGUGGCGAAAGCUAUCACUUAUGGAUGGGCCCGCGUCUGAUUAGCUAGUUGGUGGGAUAGCAGCCUACCAAGGCAACGAUCAGUAGCCGGCCUGAGAGGGUGGACGGCCACACUGGGACUGAGACACGGCCCAGACUCCUACGGGAGGCAGCAGUGGGGAAUAUUGCGCAAUGGGGGAAACCCUGACGCAGCGACGCCGCGUGAGCGAAGAAGGCCUUAGGGUCGUAAAGCUCUGUUGUAAGGGACGAAAUGUUUAACUGGCGAACAGUCAGAUAAAGUGACGGUACCUUACCAGCAAGCCCCGGCUAACUACGUG